AGAGCGCACGGUGGAUGCCUUGGCACUAGGAGCCGAAGAAGGACGGGACGAACACCGAUAUGCUUCGGGGAGCUGUAAGUAAGCGAUGAUCCGGAGAUUUCCGAAUGGGGCAACCUCUUAUCCUUGAUCGGAUAAGAUCUUUUUCCUGAAUCUAUAGGGAAGAAGAGGGAAGACCUAGCGAACUGAAACAUCUCAGUAGCUAGAGGAAAAGAAAGCAACAGCGAUUUCCACAGUAGCGGCGAGCGAACUGGAAAGAGGCCAAACCUUUCUGCUUGCAGGAAGGGGUAUGGACUCCAGAAGUGGAUAGAAGCCAUUAGUCGAACCUCCUGGGAAGGAGGGCCAAAGCAGGUGACAGCCCUGUAGACGAAAAUGAAAUCUACCCCGGAGUAUCCAGAGUACGGCGGAGCACGUGAAAUUCCGUCGGAAUAAGGGAGGACCUUCUCCCAAGCCUAAAUACUCCCUAGUGACCGAUAGUGAACCAGUACCGUGAGGGAAAGGUGAAAAGCACCCCGGAAGGGGAGUGAAAGAGAACCUGAAACCGUGUGCUUACAAGCAGUCAGAGCCCGUUAACGGGUGAUGGCGUACCUUUUGUAGAAUGGACCGGCGAGUAAUGAUUUCAUGCGAGGUUAAGCGGAAGAAGCGGAGCCGCAGCGAAAGCGAGUCUGAAGAGGGCGCAGAGUAUGAAGUCGUUGACCCGAAACCAGGUGACCUAUCCAUGUCCAGGGUGAAAGUGCGGUGAAACGCACUGGAGGCCCGAACCCACGUAUGUUGAAAAAUGCGGGGAUGAGGUGUGGAUAGCGGAGAAAUACCAAUCGAACUUGGAGAUAGCUGGUUCUCUCCGAAAUAGCUUUAGGGCUAGCCUCGGAGGAAGCAACAUGGAGGUAGAGCGACUGUUUGGAUGAGGGGCCCAUCCCGGGUUACCGAGUCCUGAUAAACUCCGAAUUCCAUGGAUGCAUAUCCGGGAGUCACACUAUGGGUGCUAAGAUUCAUAGUGGAAAGGGAAACAGCCCAGACCGUCGGCUAAGGCCCCCAAAUUCUUGUUAAGUGGAAAAGGAUGUGGGGCUGCAUAGACAACUAGGAUGUUGGCUCAGAAGCAGCCAUCAUUUAAAGAGUGCGUAAUAGCUCACUAGUCGAGUGGCCCUGCGCCGAAAAUGUACCGGGGCUAAACAAGAUGCCGAAGCCACGGAUAGAACCGUAAGGUUCUAUGGUAGGAGAGCGUUCUAAGGGCGAAGAAGGAUGACCGAAAGGACAUGUGGAGCGCUUAGAAGUGAGAAUGCCGGUAUGAGUAGCGAAACACGGGUGAGAAUCCCGUGCACCGAAAGACUAAGGUUUCCAGGGGAAGGCUCGUCCGCCCUGGGUUAGUCGGGACCUAAGCUGAGGCCGAACGGCGUAGGCGAUGGACAACAGGUGGAGAUUCCUGUACUCGUAAAGCGUGAUUGAGCGAUGGAGUGACACAGGAGGCCGAAGAUGAGCGCACGGUUGGAAGCGUGCGUCCAAGCCACGAGUUUGAGGGAGAGUGAAAUGCUUUUUCUCAGAGAAUGAGUGGUGACGGGGAGGGAAGAAGAGUACCGAAGCAUCAACGUCACACUGUCAAGAAAACCUUCUAGCGAGCACUUUACGACCCGUACCGCAAACCGACACAGGUAGUCGAGGAGAGUAUCCUAAGGUGAGCGAGAGAACUCUCGUUAAGGAACUCGGCAAAAUGACCCCGUAACUUCGGGAGAAGGGGUGCUGACGAUGUCAGCCGCAGUGAAUAGGCCCAGACGACUGUUUAUCAAAAACACAGGUCUCUGCAAAAUCGAAAGAUGAGGUAUAGGGGCUGACACCUGCCCGGUGCUGGAAGGUUAAGGGGACGAGUUAGUCGCAAGACGAAGCUCUGAUCUGAAGCCCCAGUAAACGGCGGCCGUAACUAUAACGGUCCUAAGGUAGCGAAAUUCCUUGUCGGGUAAGUUCCGACCCGCACGAAAGGUGCAACGAUCUGGGCACUGUCUCAACGAGAGACUCGGUGAAAUUGUAGUACCUGUGAAAAUGCAGGUUACCCGCGACAGGACGGAAAGACCCCGUGGAGCUUCACUGUAGCUUGAUAUUGAUUGUCGAUACGUUAUGUACAGGAUAGGUAGGAGCCGAAGAACUCUGGACGCCAGUUUAGAGGGAGGCAGCGGUGGGAUACUACCCUUAACGUAUGGCCAGUCUAACCCGCGACCCUAACCGGGUCGGGAGACAGUGUCAGGUAGGCAGUUUGACUGGGGCGGUCGCCUCCCAAAAUGUAACGGAGGCGCCCAAAGGUUCCCUCAGAAUGGUUGGAAAUCAUUCGGAGAGUGCAAAGGCAGAAGGGAGCUUGACUGCGAGACCCACAAGUCGAGCAGGGACGAAAGUCGGGCUUAGUGAUCCGGUGGUACCGAAAGGAAGGGCCAUCGCUCAACGGAUAAAAGCUACCCCGGGGAUAACAGGCUUAUCUCCCCCAAGAGUUCACAUCGACGGGGAGGUUUGGCACCUCGAUGUCGGCUCAUCGCAUCCUGGGGCUGUAGUCGGUCCCAAGGGUUGGGCUGUUCGCCCAUUAAAGCGGUACGCGAGCUGGGUUCAGAACGUCGUGAGACAGUUCGGUCCCUAUCCGUCGCGGGCGCAGGAGAUUUGAAGAGAGCCAUCCUUAGUACGAGAGGACCGGGAUGGACACACCGCUGGUGUACCAGUUGUUCUGCCAAGGGCAUGGCUGGGUAGCUAUGUGUGGACGGGAUAAACGCUGAAAGCAUCUAAGCGUGAAGCCUCCUUUAA
rnacentral:rRNA from 1 species